rnacentral:rRNA from 1 species
UACGUAGGGGGCAAGCGUUGUCCGGAUUUAUUGGGCGUAAAGAGCGUGUAGGCGGUUUGGUAGGUCCGUUGUGAAAACUCGAGGCUCAACCUCGAGACGCCGGUGGAAACCAUCAGGCUAGAGUCCGGAAGAGGAGAGUGGAAUUCCUGGUGUGAGCGGUGAAAUGCGCAGAUAUCAGGAAGAACACCCGUGGCUAAGGCGGCUCUCUAGUACGUGACUGACGCUGAGACGCGAAAGCGUGGGGAGCGAACAGG